rnacentral:rRNA from 1 species
GGGUUGUAAACUGCUUUUAUACGGGAAGAAUAAGGGGUACGUGUACCCCGAUGACGGUACCGUAAGAAUAAGGACCGGCUAACUCCGUGCCAGCAGCCGCGGUAAUACGGAGGGUCCAAGCGUUAUCCGGAAUCAUUGGGUUUAAAGGGUCCGCAGGCGGGCAAUUAAGUCAGGGGUGAAAUGGUGCGGCUCAACCGUAGCACUGCCCUUGAUACUGGUUGUCUUGAGUUAUGGUGAAGUGGCCGGAAUAUGUAGUGUAGCGGUGAAAUGCAUAGAUAUUACAUAGAACACCGAUCGCGAAGGCAGGUCACUAACCAUAGACUGACGCUGAUGGACGAAAGCGUGGGGAGCGAACGGGAUUAGAUACCCCGGUAGUCCACGCCGUAAACGAUGGAUACUAGCUGUCGGGCACUUGUGUUCGGCGGCCAAGCGAAAGUGAUAAGUAUCCCACCUGGGGAGUACGUUCGCAAGAAUGAAACUCAAAGGAAUUGACGGGGGCCCGCACAAGCGGUGGAGCAUGUGGUUUAAUUCGAUGAUACGCGAGGAACCUUACCAGGGCUUAAAUGCAGAAUGACAGGGGCAGAGACGCCUUUUUCUUCGGACAUUUUGCAAGGUGCUGCAUGGUUGUCGUCAGCUCGUGCCGUGAGGUGUCAGG